rnacentral:rRNA from 1 species
AAUUUUUACAGCGAAACUGCGAAUGGCUCAUUAAAUCAGUUAUGAUCUACAUGACAAAUACUUUACUACUGGAUAACCGUGGUAAUUCUAGAGCUAAUACAUGCAGAAAAGGCCUGACUUCGGGAGGGCUGCACUUAUUAGAUCAAAACCAUCCUGGGUAAAACCAGUUCUAUGGUGAUUCAUAAUAAUUAAGCUGAUCGCAUGGCCUUGCGCCGGCGACGGUACAUUCGAUUUUCUGCCCUAUCAGGCUGUUGAUUGUAAGGUAGUGGCUUACAAUGGCGACCACGGGUAACGGGGAAUUAGGGUUCGAUUCCGGAGAGGGAGCCUGAGAAACGGCUACCACAUCCAAGGAAGGCAGCAGGCGCGCAAAUUACCCAAUCCCAACUCGGGGAGGUAGUGACAAUAAAUAACAAUGCAGGGCCUUCUGGCCUUGCAAUUGGAAUGAGUACAAUUUAAAUCCCUUAACGAGGAUCAAUUGGAGGGCAAGUCUGGUGCCAGCAGCCGCGGUAAUUCCAGCUCCAAAAGCGUAUAUUAAAGUUGUUGCAGUUAAAACGUCCGUAGUCGAAUUUACGCCUGGUGGCUCGGCCGCUGGUCCUUCAUUGGGCCAGAUUGGCUGUAGUCCCGGCGAUAAAGCUUGGAUCAGGUAGGGUUGGUUUCGGCCGGCUCUGCUCUAUGCCCAAGCGUAUUACCAUGAGCAAAUCAGAAUGCUCAAAGUAGGCCUAAGCGCCUGAAUGUGUUAGCAUGGAAUAAUGAAAUAGGACUCGAGUCUUGUUUUGUUGGUUUACUUGACAUUGAGAAAUGAUGAAUAGGAACGGUUGGGGGCAUUUGUAUUUGGCCGCUAGAGGUGAAAUUCUUGGAUUGGCCGAAGACAAACUACUGCGAAAGCAUUUGACCCAGGACGUUUUCAUUGAUCAGGGACUAAAGUUG